rnacentral:rRNA from 1 species
CCUACGGGAGGCAGCAGUGAGGACUAUUGGUCAAUGGACGCAAGUCUGAACCAGCCAUGCCGCGUGCAGGCUGCCGGCUCUAUGAGUUGUCAACUGCUUUUGUACGAGGGUAAACCCCGAUACGUGUAUCGGGUUGAAAGUAUCGUACGCAUAAGGAUCGGCUAACUCCGUGCCAGCAGCAGCGGUAAUACGGAGGCUCCGAGCGUUAGCUGGAUUUAUUGGGUGUAAAGGGUGCGUAGGCGGUUUGAUAAGUGAGAGGUGAAAUGUCGGGGCUCAACCCCGAAACUGCCUCUAAUACUGUUGGACUAGAGAAUAGUUGCGGUAGGCGGAAUGUAUGGUGUAGCGGUGAAAUGCUUAGAGAUCAUACAGAACACCGAGUGCGAAGGCAGCUUACCAAACUAUAUCUGACGUUGAGGCACGAAAGCGUGGGUAGCAAACAGGAUCAGAUACCCUUGUAGUC